AUGCCUCAACUUGAUAAAUUAACUUAUUUCUCACAAUUUUUCUGGUUAUGUCUUCUCCUCUUUACUUUUUAUAUUCUCUUAUUUAAUAAUAAUAAUGCAAUACUUGGCAUUAGUAGAAUUCUCAAACUACGAAACCAACUGCUUUCGCGCCGGGGGGGCGAGAUCCAGAGCAAGGACCCUAAGAAUCUGGAAGAUAUCUCGAGAAAAGGUUUUAGCACCGGUCUCUCAUAUAUGUACUCCAGUUUAUCUGAAGUAUCCCAAUGGUGUAAGACCGUCGACUAUUUGGGAAAAAGGAGGAAAAUCACUCUGAUCUCUGAUGUCGGAGAAAUAAGUGGCUCACGAGGAAUGGAGAGACAGAUUCUCUAUUUGAUCUCGAAGUCCUCAUAUAACACUUCUUCCAGUCGGAUCACUUGUUGGAAAAUAAUGCUCACACAUGUUCCACACGGGCAAGGAAGCAUAGUAUUAUGA
rnacentral:rRNA from 1 species